rnacentral:rRNA from 1 species
GCUGGCGGCGUGCUUAACACAUGCAAGUCGAACGAUGAAGCCCAGCUUGCUGGGUGGAUUAGUGGCGAACGGGUGAGUAACACGUGGGUGAUCUGCCCUGCACUCUGGGAUAAGCCUGGGAAACUGGGUCUAAUACCGGAUAUGACCUCGGGAUGCAUGUCCUGGGGUGGAAGUUUGGUGCAGGAUGAGCCCGCGGCCUAUCAGCUUGUUGGUGGGGUAAUGGCCUACCAAGGCGACGACGGGUAGCCGGCCUGAGAGGGCGACCGGCCACACUGGGACUGAGACACGGCCCAGACUCCUAGGGAGGCAGCAGUGGGGAAUAUUGCAAAUGGGCGCAAGCCUGAUGCAGCGACGCCGCGUGAGGGAUGACGGCCUUCGGGUUGUAAACCUCUUCACCCAUGACGAAGCGCAAGUGACGGUAGUGGGAGAAGAAGCACCGGCCAACUACGUGCCAGCAGCCGCGGUAAUACGUAGGGUGCGAGCGUUGUCCGGAAUUACUGGGCGUAAAGAGCUCGUAGGCGGUUUGUCGCGUCGUCUGUGAAAUCCCGCAGCUCAACUGCGGGCUUGCAGGCGAUACGGGCAGACUCGAGUACUGCAGGGGAGACUGGAAUUCCUGGUGUAGCGGUGAAAUGCGCAGAUAUCAGGAGGAACACCGGUGGCGAAGGCGGGUCUCUGGGCAGUAACUGACGCUGAGGAGCGAAAGCGUGGGUAGCGAACAGGAUUAGAUACCUGGUAGUCCACGCCGUAAACGGUGGCGCUAGGUGUGGGUUUCCUUCCACGGGAUCCGUGCCGUAGCCAACGCAUUAAGCGCCCCGCCUGGGAGUACGGCCGCAAGGCUAAAACUCAAAGGAAUUGACGGGGGCCCGCACAAGCGGCGGAGCAUGUGGAUUAAUUCGAUGCAACGCGAAGAACCUUACCUGGGUUUGACAUGUACCGGACGACUGCAGAGAUGUGGUUUCCCUUGUGGCCGGUAGACAGGUGGUGCAUGGCGUCGUCAGCUCGUGUCGGAGAUGUUGGGUUAAGUCCCGCAACGAGCGCAACCCUUGUCCUGUGUUGCCAGCACGUGAUGGUGGGGACUCGCAGGAGACUGCCGGGGUCAACUCGGAGGAAGGUGGGGACGACGUCAAGUCAUCAUGCCCCUUAUGUCCAGGGCUUCACACAUGCUACAAUGGUCGGUACAGAGGGCUGCAUACCGUGAGUGGAGCGAAUCCCUUAAAGCCGGUCUCAGUUCGGAUCGGGGUCUGCAACUCGACCCCGUGAAGUCGGAGUC